rnacentral:rRNA from 1 species
AUUGAACGCUGGCGGCAGGCCUAACACAUGCAAGUCGAGCGGAUGACGGGAGCUUGCUCCUUGAUUCAGCGGCGGACGGGUGAGUAAUGCCUAGGAAUCUGCCUGGUAGUGGGGGACAACGUUUCGAAAGGAACGCUAAUACCGCAUACGUCCUACGGGAGAAAGCAGGGGACCUUCGGGCCUUGCGCUAUCAGAUGAGCCUAGGUCGGAUUAGCUAGUUGGUGAGGUAAUGGCUCACCAAGGCGACGAUCCGUAACUGGUCUGAGAGGAUGAUCAGUCACACUGGAACUGAGACACGGUCCAGACUCCUACGGGAGGCAGCAGUGGGGAAUAUUGGACAAUGGGCGAAAGCCUGAUCCAGCCAUGCCGCGUGUGUGAAGAAGGUCUUCGGAUUGUAAAGCACUUUAAGUUGGGAGGAAGGGCAGUAAGCUAAUACCUUGCUGUUUUGACGUUACCGACAGAAUAAGCACCGGCUAACUCUGUGCCAGCAGCCGCAGUAAGAC